rnacentral:rRNA from 1 species
UACGUAGGUGACAAGCGUUGUCCGGAUUUACUGGGCGUAAAGAGCGCGCAGGCGGUCGUUCAAGUCGAGUGUGAAAGCCCCCGGCUCAACUGGGGAGGGUCAUUCGAUACUGAUCGACUCGAAGGCAGGAGAGGGUAGUGGAAUUCCCGGUGUAGUGGUGAAAUGCGUAGAUAUCAGGAGGAACACCGGUGGCGAAGGCGGGUCUCUGGGCCGAUACUGACGCUGAGGAGCGAAAGCGUGGGGAGCGAACAGG